rnacentral:rRNA from 1 species
CGUAGGUGGCGAGCGUUGUCCGGAUUUACUGGGCGUAAAGGGCGUGCAGGCGGUCUGUUAAGUCUAGGGUGAAAGCUCCCGGCUCAACUGGGAGAGGUCCUUGGAUACUGGCAGACUUGAGGAGAGUAGAGGAGAGUGGAAUUCCCGGUGUAGUGGUGAUAUGCGUAGAUAUCGGGAGGAACACCAGUGGCGAAGGCGGCUCUCUGGGCUCUACCUGACGCUGAGACGCGAAAGCGUGGGGAGCGAACCGGAUUAGAUACCCGGGUAGUCCACGCCGUAAACUAUGGACACUAGGUGUGGGGGGUAUCGACCCCCUCCGUGCCGCAGCUAGCGCAAUAAGUGUCCCGCCUGGGGAGUACGGCCGCAAGGCUA